rnacentral:misc_RNA from 1 species
AAGACUAUAGACCUGCGGAGUACCUGCGGAGGGAUCAUCAUUGAACCUCUAAAUAUCAACAAACACCUGUGUGAACCGUCGGGGGCUGGGAGAGGGUGUGAUGCGCAAGCGUCCCCCCCUCGCCCGCCUUCAUUUUUUCCCGCUUUUGCGGGGGAAAACGAAAACCCCAAACAAAACUCUUGAUCUUUUUGACAGAUUCCAAAUGUUAUCGCAAGGUAACGCUUGAAAAAAAAACAUAAA